GCUGGCAGCGAGUGCCGCCCGCUGCCGUCCUGUGCCGCCCUCAGAACAUGUCCGUGACAAACCAACCGCCCCUCUGGGCUGGCUGAUCGCUGCUUGGUCUGUGUAUCAGCAAAGAGCUAUCGCUGCAGAGGUCAGUGCACAACAGCGGGUGUCCGUUCACACAGCAGAGUAGUUAUGAGGCCCUUGUUUUGCUCCAAGAUCCAUCACUUACAACCUGACCCUACUCAGAGAGACCUUGCUUGUGACUUGUGAAGGCAAGCUGCUAACCCACAGAUCCCAGCAAUACAUGCAAUUUAAUAAGCAAAUGCA